GAUGAACGCUGGCGGCGUGCCUAAUACAUGCAAGUCGAGCGAACAGAUGAGGAGCUUGCUCCUCUGACGUUAGCGGCGGACGGGUGAGUAACACGUGGAUAACCUACCUAUAAGACUGGGAUAACUUCGGGAAACCGGAGCUAAUACCGGAUAAUAUAUUGCACCGCAUGGUUCAAUAGUGAAAGACGGUUUUGCUGUCACUUAUAGAUGGAUCCGCGCCGCAUUAGCUAGUUGGUAAGGUAACGGCUUACCAAGGCAACGAUGCGUAGCCGACCUGAGAGGGUGGUCGGCCACACUGGAACUGAGACACGGUCCAGACUCCUACGGGAGGCAGCAGUAGGGAAUCUUCCGCAAUGGGCGAAAGCCUGACAGAGCAACGCCGCGUGAGGGAUGAAGGUCUUCUGAUCGUAAAACUCUGUUAUUAGGGAAGAACAAAUGUGUAAGUAACUAUGCACGUCUUGACGGUACCGAAUCAGAAAGCCACGGCUAACUACGUG
rnacentral:rRNA from 1 species